UUUCUUAUUACAUCAUCAUAUACACAUGACAUACGGGCCUACUAGGCCAACAUCAUCAUUUAUAAACUCAAAACAUAGGCUGACAAGGCCGUACAAUCUUUCACGUACACGACAUAUGUCUACAAGCCUCUAAGACUACAUAAUUGUUAUAAAGGUCGGGAUAGAGCCCCGCCAUACCAAACCAUACACAUCUAAAUUAUACCGACCAAACAAGCAACUCCGGAGCAAAUGGAGUGCACCAAUAUCUUCUGCUGAGCUGAUCGCCUACUUGGAGGACUCUCGACCUGUCUAUCGAGAUCUGCGGGCAUGAAAUGCAGCGUCCCAAGGCAAAAGGGAAUUCAUUACAAAUAAUGUACCGAGUAUGUAAGGAAUGAAAAUCAGUAAAUAAUAGACAUGACAGAAACAUGGAGUAAAAGACUCGACAUGUACAUGUGCAUAGCUCUGUGAGUCAUUUCAUUUUUAUAAUGUCAUGAAUAUGUGUAUAACUAGCAUACCAUGCAUAGGUAUAUGAGCUCAUAGCAUCAUCAAGCUUCUGAGGGCAUCCCAUCAUAUCAUUUCGGCCACUGUGGGCAAAUUAUCAAUGUAUACCAGCUGAUUAGGUGGUGGUGCUUAUAUAACGCCAUAACCUUUUCCCAUAUUCCAUAUACAUAUAAUAUACAUAUAUACACGUAUAUAACACCAUCUGGUCAUGGGUCAAUAUAUAUGUAUAAAUGCAUAAAAUGCAUAAGAAAUACAUUAAUAAUAUUUUCUCGGAAUAUCAUAAAAAUAAUAUGCCUUAAGAAAUACGUUAAUAAGAUUUUCUCGGAAUGUUAUAAAAAUAAUAUGCCUGUCGGAUAAAUUUUAUCAAAUAUAUAUUUUUCUGAGACCCAUGAACAGAAGAUAUAAUAAUAAUUCACAUAGGGAAUCAAGAAUAUAGACACCCGUAAUAUUUCUAUGAAUAGAGUCAUUUAUUAAAAUUGUGCAUUUGCUCAUUUCGUUCGUGUCAUAUAGAUCAUGUCAAAAAGAAAGAAGGGAUAGCCUUAACAUACCUGAAGUAAGAAAAAAUCCGUAUAAUAUUCUUGGAAAAGAUUGCACUGUACUCCUUUAGAACCGCAAAAUUUUACGUUGUUACGGUUCUAACAAUUCUCGUUGGAAUUGUUUGGUUGCAAGAAUUUCGUUGGAAGCUUUGUUUUGGAUGGAGUUUAGCGUCUGUUAGUGUCUUGAAUUAUAAUUGGAAUUGUUUGGUUUCAUGUAGGAACUUGAAUUGUAGAAAGUGCUAGCGUUCUUGUUAUGAAGUGUUGUAAGAAGGUUUGUUGAAUUCUUUCUUAAGAUUAUAGGGAAUGGUUUUGAUCUUUGUUGUAAGAAGGCUUGCUGAGUUCUUU
rnacentral:lncRNA from 1 species